CCUACGGGGGGCAGCAGUGAGGAAUAUUGGUCAAUGGGCUUACGCCUGAACCAGCCAAGUCGCGUGAGGGAAGACUGCCCAAUGGGUUGUAAACCUCUUUUGUCAGGGAGCAACGCCGGCUACGUGUAGCCGGACUGAGAGUACCUGAAGAAAAAGCAUCAGCUAACUCCGUGCCAGCAGCCGCGGUAAUACGGAGGAUGCGAGCGUUAUCCGGAUUUAUUGGGUUUAAGGGGUGCGUAGGCGGAAUGCAAAGUCAGCGGGAAAAUCGCGGGGCUCAACCUCGCUCCGCAGUUGAAACUGGCGUUCUUGAGUGGGCGAGAAGUAUGCGGAAUGCGUGGUGUAGCGGUGAAAUGCAUAGAUAUCACGCAGAACUCCGAUUGCGAAGGCAGCAUACCGGCGCCCAACUGACGCUGAAGCACGAAAGCGUGGGUAUCGAACAGGAUUAGAUACCCUGGUAGUC
rnacentral:rRNA from 1 species